rnacentral:rRNA from 1 species
CCUACGGGUGGCAGCAGUGAGGAAUAUUGGGCAAUGGGCGCAAGCCUGACCCAGCAACGCCGCGUGAAGGAAGAAGGCUUUCGGGUUGUAAACUUCUUUUGUCAGGGACGAAGCAAGUGACGGUACCUGACGAAUAAGCCACGGCUAACUACGUGCCAGCAGCCGAGGUAAUACGUAGGUGGCAAGCGUUAUCCGGAUUUAUUGGGUGUAAAGGGCGUGUAGGCGGGAAUGCAAGUCAGAUGUGAAAACUAUGGGCUCAACCCAUAGCCUGCAUUUGAGACUGUAUAUCUUGAGUGCUGGAGAGGCAAUCGGAAUUCCGUGUGUAGCGGUGAAAUGCGUAGAUAUACGGAGGAACACCGGUGGCGAAGGAGGAUUGCUGGACAGUAACUGACGCUGAGGCGCGAGAGCGUGGGGAGCAAACAGGAUGAGAUACCCUUGUAGUG